CUAGUACUCGCUGCGUCCGGAAAUAUUUGUCAUCAAAAUGAAUAAAAAAGGAUGUAUCUAGACGUAUUUUAGUUUUCAAUAUAUCUUUUUUUUCAUUUUGAUGACAAGUAUUUUUGAACCGAGGGAGUACAGU
rfam:Triticum aestivum genome assembly, contig: Triticum_aestivum_CS42_TGACv1_scaffold_320871_4BL